rnacentral:tmRNA from 1 species
GGGGAUGAUCGGUUUCGACAUCGCCUGCGAAACCACGAGAAGCGGGUCGAGGAUGCGGGGUUAUCUCGUUAACGCCCUCCGCAAAACAUAAGUGCCAAUUCAAACAGCACUGUUGCGGCCAAGAAGGCCACCUUCGCUCUCGCAGCGUAGGUCUUCCUUCUAGCUAAAUAGCAACUGUCGGUCCGGGAAUGCUCUCUACCCGGGUUCCGGCAUUAUCCAGAGAGAUUGCUGCGUGACUGUGUCUCAGGGUCACGCGGGACUUGCACUGUGGCUGGGCCCGUCGACCUAGGUGCCUGUAGCAAAGGUCGGGGCCGAGUAGAACGUCUGUACAGGCUACGCCCGUAGAAGGCGUGGAAUCACAGCGAUGGACGGGGGUUCAAUUCCCCCCAUCUCCACCA